GAUGAACGCUAGCGGCAGGCUUAACACAUGCAAGUCGAGGGGUAUAGUUCUUCGGAACUAGAGACCGGCGCACGGGUGCGUAACGCGUAUGCAAUCUACCUUUUGCAGAGGGAUAGCCCCAGAGAAAUUUUGGAUUAAUACCUCAUAGUAUAGCAGUUUCGCAUGAAACCACUAUUAAAGUCACAACGGCAAAAGAUGAGCAUGCGUCCCAUUAGCUAGUUGGUAAGGUAACGGCUUACCAAGGCUACGAUGGGUAGGGGUCCU
rnacentral:rRNA from 1 species